AUGAAGACAAUUCUCAGCAGCAGCCAACAUUCCAGAAAAUGUUGACAUCACUCUGAGGGGGCACACAGUCAUUGUGAAGGGGCACAUCGGAACUCUGAGGAGGGACUUCCAUCAGAUCAAUGUAGAACUGAGUCUUCUUGGAAAGUAAAUAAAACGCUCUGGGUUGACAAAUUGUGGGAUAACAAAAAGGAGCUGACUACUGUCAAAACCAUCUAGAGUCAUGUUCAGAACAUGAUCAAGGGUGUUACACUGGGUUUCAGUUAUAAGAUAAGGUCUGUAUAUGCUCACUUUCCCAUCAACGUCAUUACUCAAGAGAAUAGAUCUUUGGUUGAAACCCGAAACUUCUUGGAUGAAAAGUACAUCAGCAGGGUUCAGAUGAGGACAGGUGUUGCUUGUCCUGUCUCUCAAUCCCAGAAGGAUGAAUUAAUCCAUGAAGGAAAUAAUAUUGAACUUGAUUCAAAUUCAGCCACUCAGAUUCAGCAAGCCACAACAGUUAAAAACAAGGGUAUCAGGAAGUUUUUGGAUGGCCUCUAUAUGUCUGAGAAGGUAACAGCGCAGCAGGUUGAUAGAUGA
rnacentral:lncRNA from 1 species